AGAGAAGUGCCCGAGUGGUUUAAAGGGCCUCCCUGCUAAGGAGGUGGGCGUUAAUCCGCUCCGUGGGUUCAAAUCCCACUUUCUCUG
rnacentral:tRNA from 1 species